rnacentral:rRNA from 1 species
UGGGGAAUAUUGGACAAUGGGCGCAAGCCUGAUCCAGCAAUGCCGCGUGUGUGAAGAAGGUCUUAGGAUUGUAAAGCACUUUCGACGGGGACGAUGAUGACGGUACCCGUAGAAGAAGCCCCGGCUAACUUCGUGCCAGCAGCCGCGGUAAUACGAAGGGGGCUAGCGUUGCUCGGAAUGACUGGGCGUAAAGGGCGUGUAGGCGGCAUACCAAGUUAGAUGUGAAAUUCCCGGGCUCAACCUGGGGGCUGCAUUUGAUACUGGUAAGCUAGAGUUCGGAAGAGGGUAGUGGAAUUUCCAGUGUAGAGGUGAAAUUCGUAGAUAUUGGAAAGAACACCGGUGGCGAAGGCGGCUACCUGGUCCGAUACUGACGCUGAGGCGCGAAAGCGUGGGGAGCAAA